UCCCUGGUGGGUCUUGUGGUUAGGACUUAGCGCUCUUACCGCUGUGGCCUGGGUUCAAUUCCUUGUCAGGGAG
rnacentral:tRNA from 1 species